AGUCAUUUUAAAUAAUUAAUCAUCCCUAGUUUAUCCAUGAAAAUUAAUUCAAGUAAAAGGCUAGGUAUGCUGUUUAGUAUUUUUUGCUUUUUUAGUAGUGGUUAUCAUAGCUGUCAAGUGUCAGUCCUGUCACAGGCUUAAUAUUACUCUGUGUUGCGAACUGUGAAUUUACUUGUGCCAAUUUUAGAAAUGGUUAAGAUAUGUGCUAUUGUGGGGUGCAUAAACAAAGCUGGAAAUGGAGUAUAUUUCUUUUGUAUUCCAAAAGUAAUACAGAAAGACACAGAAUCAGAACAACAAUUACAGAAGAAAAGACGUUCGUUGUGGAUCAAGCAACUAUAGAAUAGCAUUUCCAUAACUGAUCACAGUGAUACUAGGGUUUGUAAUGAACAUUUUAUUACUGGGACUCCUAACCAAGAUGAGUCUCACCCUGAUUGGGUCCCCAAAGUGAAGUGUAAUGCUGAUAUAAUAACAAGUAAAGAAGAUGCAAAAAAUAAAUUGCAAUGUCAUUUAAGAAAAUGCAACAGGAAGCAAGUGGAAAGUAAAGAUCAACAGUCAUCGACACACACUUGGCUAGCUAUUUCGAAGAUUCAUCAGCAACUAUAUCUGCAGUAUUGCUAGUAACAUAACCAUGAGAGUUUUACGGUUCUUAAAAUAAUGUAUUUUUAAUUAUUUAUUAAAACCCUGAAGAACAGACUGCGGAAUAUGGUGAUCAUAUGGAUCUUGAAACAGCCAACACUCAUUCCAAAAAUGAACCAGUUGAUGAAGUAAUAAGUCACUGGGUGUCGAUUCUUUAGUUGCUUGAUCCACAACGAACGUCUUUUCUUCUGUAAUUGUUGUUCUGAUUCUGUGUCUUUCUGUAUUACUUUUGGAAUACAAAAGAAAGAUACUCCGUU